rnacentral:rRNA from 1 species
AACACGGUUCGUAGGGACCUGCGGAAGGAUCAUUACCGAGUUGAUUCGGGCUCCGGCCCGAUCCUCCCACCCUUUGUGUACCUACCUCUGUUGCUUUGGCGGGCCGCGGUCCUCCGCGGCCGCCCCCCUCCCCGGGGGGUGGCCAGCGCCCGCCAGAGGACCAUCAAACUCCAGUCAGUAAACGAUGCAGUCUGAAAAACAUUUAAUAAACUAAAACUUUCAACAACGGAUCUCUUGGUUCUGGCAUCGAUGAAGAACGCAGCGAAAUGCGAUAAGUAAUGUGAAUUGCAGAAUUCAGUGAAUCAUCGAAUCUUUGAACGCACAUUGCGCCCUUUGGUAUUCCGAAGGGCAUGCCUGUUCGAGCGUCAUUACAACCCUCAAGCUCUGCUUGGUAUUGGGCACCGUCCUUUGCGGGCGCGCCUCAAAGACCUCGGCGGUGGCGUCUUGCCUCAAGCGUAGUAGAACAUACAUCUCGCUUCGGAGCGCAGGGCGUCGCCCGCCGGACGAACCUUCUGAACUUUUCUCAAGGUUGACCUCGGAUCAGGUAGGGAUACCCGCUGAACUUAAGCAUAUCAUAG